rnacentral:lncRNA from 8 species
GCCUAUCAGACCUCAGUUUGCUCACCCAAAAUCCUCCAAUAAUCCAGCCAGUCCCCUCUGUCACACAAGCAAGCAAGCAGGCACACACACACACACACACACACACACACACACUUUUAACUCAUCAUAAACUCUCCCCUGGACCCCCUAUUCACUAUAUAAGCCCCAGUUAGUUCUGUGCACUCCCGCUCUUCUCUCAUCACCAGUAAGCAUCAUUGUCUUUUCCAUCUUUAUUCUUGGGGCUGAGUAACUAUGUCUGACAUAGAGGAAGAGAAUGAGGAUCAGCAGGAGGGUAAAGGUAUUUUCUGUCACUUGUCUUUUUGUCUCAAUCUCACCCACCCACUCCUCUCUUAUCUGUUAUUUUUCUCACCUACUCGCUCCACAGAGGACGAGGAGGAAGGAGGUGAGUCACAACUUUAUGUUAACAUGAUCCUUGAUAUUACACAUCCUCACAAUAUUAUUACUCCAUUUAGACCCUGAAACAUUACAGUAAAUGCCCUCAACCAAUCUCUCUAGAAGGGACAUAUGAUUGUGAACAUGUUCCUCAACAAGAGCGUCAUUCUCUUAUCAGUUGAAUAUGUUAAAACAAAGGCCCUGCUCAUAAACUUUACCAUCACGUUAAAUCCACUAUCUGGAAACUCAGAGACAUAGUAUUUUGCUAUGUCUGUCAACCUCAUAUUCAGGGACAGCAAAUAAUACCACCCAUCGAUCAUGGAGGGUUAGUGAGUAAUGAACUCAAUGGUAAAGUUUUAUGAACAUUCCCCCACAUAAGUUAUUUUUGUGUCCCUUGGAUCCAUUCAUGGCUGUCCCCUGUUUCUCCCUCUCCCCUGUCUCUCCCUCUCUCCCUGGGCCUGGUGUUGAUCCUGGUGAACAGAGCCAGAGCUGUCACAGGAGAGAGAGGACAAAGGCGCAGCGGGUUGCAUGCUCAUCAUAUUAAUUUAUUAAAUAAAGUGAACACGGGAAAAACAACAAACCGACAGUUUCACAGGCUAAAUAAUAACAGCAAUGCGAAAUACAACAACCCACAAAUCCCCAGGUGAAAUCAAGCAUCUAAUAUAUGACUCCCAAUCAGGAACAACGAUGUACAGCUGUUCCUGAUCGGGAGCCACACAAACCACACAGAAAUAGACAGACUAGAAAACCAUAGAAAACCAACACUAGAACAAUAACUCAAACCCCAGACUACAUAAACCAAACACCCCUUAAAUAACACACACAACCCGAACCAUAUGAAACAAAUACCCCUCUGCCACGUCCUAACCAAAUAUAAUACAAUUACUCCCUCUGCUGGUCAGGACGUGACAAGAGCAUUUAGAGUACAGAGAGUGUCAAGUAUUGUACACCAGUAGUGGUGCGUGGGUAAAAUCCUCAGGGAAGCCAGGGAAAAAAAGCAAUAUUACAACCUACUGUAUGUGUUGUGAUAAUUGUGUUGUUUGCUCUUUAACCUGUUAGUUCAUAUGCCUUUCCACCAUGAUAUAUUGGCCUAAGGCUGAGACAAUAAGAAGACACAGUGGCAGAAUAAAUUCAAUCAGGCCUUUUGUUUCAUCACAAAACCGGAGAGCAAAAUCUGUCCAGUGAAGUCCACAAAGCAUGUUGCAAGUAACAAACAGUUACAUGACCUACAGCGUGGUCAAUCAAGUUAAUGUUUCUGAGAUUUCCGGACUAUUAAAAGAAUAUUGAUUUAGAACCACGGAGAGUUACCGCAAGUCCAGGCUAUGUCACAACCGGCCGUGAUUGGGAGUCCCAUAGGGCAGCGUCGCCUGGGUUUGGCUGGUGUAGGCCGUCAUUGUAAAUAAGAAUUUGCUCUUAACUGACUUGCCUAGCUAAAUAAAGGUUCAAUAAAAAAAAUGAUUUGAAAAAUUGCAAAGAAAACAGGCGCUGCCGCCACUAUUCAAGCGCCCUUUCAACUUCAACAUUUCAACAUCAUCUAAUCACAUAUGCUUAGUCUAAUACAAUGACAACUAAAAGAUACCAAAAAACGAUUUACUAUAGUCAAUGUAAGCUAAAUAUGAUGUGGCUGUCCAUGUUAUUGAUUUCUGUGUGUGUGUGUGUGUGUGUGUGUGUGUGUGUGUGUGUGUGUGUGUGUGUGUGUGUGUGUGUGUGUGCUUGCAAGUAGAAAACCAUGCUGACUCACCCUACUUGUAGAGAAAUGCCAAUGCCACCCACAUUUUUCAUAUUCCCUAAACAGGCUAUGACUCUGUCAUACAGUACAUGCUUUUAGUUUUUGUUGUGCUAGGCUAUCUGGCUAAAAUGCUUGCGCGCUAGCCUAACUUCAUUUCAUGAGCAACGAUGCGCCAGACCAGCUAGUUAUCAUUAGUCUACUACAUCCAUCUAGCUACAUGUUGAACUUCCAUCCUCUAAGGCCAGGGGCACAAUGUAUGAAUUUAUCGUUGGAUCAGAAUCGCUGUUAUAAUCAUUGACCAGUACGGAGAAUUAAGUAAAACCACAAGCUCAAAUCCCUAUCUCCAUCCAUGGCUAAUUUAAGAAAGGCACGAUUUUAGCUAGCUAGCCACCGGAGGACAUAGACACAACAAGAUGCAACAAUUCUAGUUUUUUUCUGUCAAUGAUGUUUGGCUUCAAACUGGCUUCCCUUGACUCCUUUUUUUUGGUGCGCCAGGACCAUUCACAUCUGCGCUCACUCAGUUUAACUCAAUGCUGAUUGGCUAUUAUUUUAUACUUUUUUGCUCGCUGGCUUCCCUUGCAUUCAAUGCUACGGGCAGCAACAAUGUCAUACUAUGUUUGACCAGAGAGCAUCAGAUAGAUGGGCUAUACAUACUGAAACAGAGGGGCGCUGUUAUGUUCGCUCGUAUGCUUUCACCGGUGCGAUACAUUCAGCCUCUUGUGAAUUGAAGAACAUUUCUGAAACACAUUGAGACGAAAGAUAAGUUAUUUUGUAUGGGUUUUUUAUCUUGGUCAAUUUUUUGGGGAAGCUAUGCUUCCCUUGGCACCCAUGAAUACACGCCACUGUUGUGCACAAACAUACCUGCCUGACUUAAAAGUGUCUUCUAACGCUGUCUGACUUUCCCUUUCUCCCCUCCUACCUAUUUUGUAAUAGUUUGUUCACCAUUGUAAACAUGUUCAUUGUUGGUGUGUAAUAUCUGUUUAUCAUUUAUUUCUCAUUUGAAAAAACGAAUUUGAAGGAUGAUAUCCCAGUCCCACUCAACCCAAUUACCUACAAGGAAGUUGAAAUCGACCGUUGCAAAGUAUUAGUUGUGUUUUGGUUUGAUAUUGAUUUUCUCUGUCAUUUCUUCCACGCCUUGUACUAAGAAGAAGAGGAACGUCCUAAAUACAAGUACGUCUGUCUUCACAAGUUAACAGUUACUACUAAAUUUGUGAAUUAAGUUGUGUUUCUUUUUCUUUUGAGGAUUUGCUCUGUCAUGACACAGAACACUUGGGGCCGAUUUCCCAGACAAAUUAGGCCUAGUCCUGGCCAAAAAAUAUUCUCAAUGGAGAAUCUUCAUUGAAAGCACCUUUUAGUCCAGGACUAGGUCUAAGCUGUAUUUGGUAAAACCGUCUAUUGAAGUUUGAUUUCAUAUUGUAUCUGAAUACAAAACAUAUAAUUAAAUAGAACAAUUUUAAUUGAAUGUAUCUUUACAGUACAAAGUACAACAUGUACAGUUUAACAAAGGCAAAUACUUUAGUAGUAAUUUAAGUAUAUUUCGUCGUUUGGCAUUUAGGUUGUCAGUGUGUUUAAUCCUGAUGUAACUCAUUUACU